AGAUUUUGAUCCUGGUUCAGGAUGAACGCUAGCGGCAGGCUUAACACAUGCAAGUCGAGGGGCAGCAUGUCCAAGCAAUGGAUGAUGGCGACCGGCGGAAGGGUGCGUAACGCGUGAGCAACAUGCCCUAUACAGGGAGAUACACCAGGGAAACUUGGUCUAAUAUCCCAUAGCAUUCAUUGAAGGCAUCUUUAAUGAAUUAAAGCUUCGGUGGUAUAGGAUUGGCUCGCGUGACAUUAGCCAGAUGGUGAGGUAACGGCUCACCAUAGCAAUGAUGUCUAGGGGUUUUGAGAGGAAGGCCCCCCACACUGGGACUGAGACACGGCCCAGACUCCUACGGGAGGCAGCAGUGAGGAAUAUUGGACAAUGGAUGGAAAUCUGAUCCAGCCAUGCCGCGUGCAGGAAGACGGCCUUAUGGGUUGUAAACUGCUUUUAUACGGGAGCAAUAAGGGUUACGAGUAAUCCGAUGAGAGUACUGUAUGAAUAAGGAUCGGCUAACUCCGUGCCAGCAGCCGCGGUAAUACGGAGGAUCCGAGCGUUAUCCGGAAUUAUUGGGUUUAAAGGGUGCGUAGGCGGCCAUUUAAGUCAGCGGUGAAAUUUUGCAGCUUAACUGUAACAGUGCCGUUGAUACUGUUUGGCUAGGAUUUGGUUGUAGUGUGCGGAAUGUGUGGUGUAGCGGUGAAAUGCUUAGAUAUCACACAGAACACCGAUUGCGAAGGCAGCACACUAAGUCAUUAUUGACGCUGAGGCACGAAAGUGUGGGGAUCAAACAGGAUUAGAUACCCUGGUAGUCCACACUGUAAACGAUGAUAACUCGCUGUCGGCGAUACACAGUCGGGGCCAAGCGAAAGC
rnacentral:rRNA from 1 species